CUACGGGGGGCAGCAGUGAGGAAUCUUGCGCAAUGGUGGAAACCCUGACGCAGCGACGCCGCGUGAGUGAAGAAGGCCUUCGGGUCGUAAAGCUCUGUCAAGUGGGAAUAACAUCUAGCGGUGAAUAGCCGUAAGGAUCUGAAGGUACCACUAGAGGAAGCACCGGCUAACUCCGUGCCAGCAGCCGCGGUAAUACGGAGGGUGCAAGCGUUAUUCGGAUUUAUUGGGCGUAAAGAGCGUGUAGGCGGUUGGGUAAGUCAGAUGUGAAAUCCUUUUGCUCAACAAAAGAAGUGCAUCUGAAACUGCGCAACUUGAGUACGAGAGAGGAGAGUGGAAUUCCCAGUGUAGAGGUGAAAUUCGUAGAUAUUGGGAGGAACACCUGUGGCGAAGCGACUCUCUGGAUCGAUACUGACGCUGAGACGCGAAAGCGUGGGGAGCAAACAGGAUUAGAUACCCGGGUAGUC
rnacentral:rRNA from 1 species